GUAGUGCUCCAUCUUUACCGCUGAUACAUUUAUGUAUGAGAGGAAAGUCCGGGCAGCAUAGGACGCUCCACUUCCUAAUAUAGAAGCUAUUGGUGACAGUAGGACGAGACAGAAGAAAAUAACCGCUUAUCAAGGCUUAGCUUCUUUUAGGAGCGAGGUGUAUGAUGAGUAAGGGUGAGAAGGUGGUGUAAGAGACCACCAGUCGAUUGGUGACAAUCGAGCUGUGUCAUCUGGAGGCUGCAAGUUCAUGUAAACCGCAGUUUGAGAGUUGUCCGCUCGAUGCAUUUCGAUGCAACUGUGGAGGGUAGAAUGCUAAAGCCAUGGGGUGACUCAUGGCUUAGAUAAAUGGUAAAGCACCAUCUUUAUAGGUGGUUACAGAACCCGGCUUAUUAGAGCACUAUUUUC
rnacentral:RNase_P_RNA from 1 species